GACGAACGCUGGCGGCGUGCCUAAUACAUGCAAGUUGAGCGCUGAAGGUUGGUACUUGUACCAACUGGAUGAGCAGCGAACGGGUGAGUAACGCGUGGGGAAUCUGCCUUUGAGCGGGGGACAACAUUUGGAAACGAAUGCUAAUACCGCAUAAAAACUUUAAACACAAGUUUUAAGUUUGAAAGAUGCAAUUGCAUCACUCAAAGAUGAUCCCGCGUUGUAUUAGCUAGUUGGUGAGGUAAAGGCUCACCAAGGCGAUGAUACAUAGCCGACCUGAGAGGGUGAUCGGCCAAAUUGGGACUGAGACACGGGCCAAAAUCCUACGGGAGGCAGCAGUAGGGGAUCAUCGGAAAUGGACGAAAGUCUGACCGAGCAACGCCGGGUGAGGGAAGAAGGGUUUCGGAUCGUAAAACUCUGUUGGUAGAGAAGAACGUUGGUGAGAGUGGAAAGCUCAUCAAGUGACGGUAACUACCCAGAAAGGGACGGCUAACUACGUG
rnacentral:rRNA from 1 species